rnacentral:rRNA from 1 species
UACGUAGGUGGCAAGCGUUGUUCGGAAUUAUUGGGCGUAAAGCGCGCGCAGGCGGUCCUUUAAGUCUGAUGUGAAAGCCCACGGCUCAACCGUGGAGGGUCAUUGGAAACUGGGGGACUUGAGUACAGAAGAGAAGAGUGGAAUUCCACGUGUAGCGGUGAAAUGCGUAGAGGUGUGGAGGAACACCAGUGGCGAAGGCGACUCUUUGGUCUGUAACUGACGCUGAGGCGCGAAAGCGUGGGGAGCAAACAGG